rnacentral:rRNA from 1 species
GAUGAACGCUGGCGGCGUGCCUAAUACAUGCAAGUAGAACGCUGAAGGAAGGAGCUUGCUCUUUCCGGAUGAGUUGCGAACGGGUGAGUAACGCGUAGGUAACCUGCCUGGUAGCGGGGGAUAACUAUUGGAAACGAUAGCUAAUACCGCAUAACAGUAGAUGUUGCAUGAUAUCUACUUAAAAGGUGCAAUUGCACCACUACCAGAUGGACCUGCGUUGUAUUAGCUAGUUGGUGAGGUAACGGCUCACCAAGGCGACGAUACAUAGCCGACCUGAGAGGGUGAUCGGCCACACUGGGACUGAGACACGGCCCAGACUCCUACGGGAGGCAGCAGUAGGGAAUCUUCGCAAUGGACGGAAGUCUGACCGAGCAACGCCGCGUGAGUGAAGAAGGUUUUCGGAUCGUAAAGCUCUGUUGUAAGAGAAGAACGAGUGUGAGAGUGGAAAGUUCACACUGUGACGGUAUCUGACCAGAAAGGGACGGCUAACUACGUG